rnacentral:lncRNA from 1 species
UUGGGGAGCCACAUUGGCCGGCGACACGACGAAAGGAGGACUUAUGAUGGUAAAACAUGGGUGUUGUGCACUAGUAGGGUCGGCCCUGACUUUUGGUUGACUUGGGAUCAGAAAUUAAAAUGAGGCCUUUUUAUGUUUCAUCAUAUUGAAUAUAGUAAACUAAAAAAGAAAAAUAAGGUUUAGGGAGAAGGUUAUAAUGCCCUUUUUAUUGACCAAGGUUAUAAUGCCUUUUUUCUUUUUUGGUCAAUAAAGCUUCAUUAAGCAACAGCAAACGGCAAAGAAAACAAGAACAAGAGAGCCAAAAACCAAA